GAUGUUAUGAGUGAUCUUACUGCCUAAAAUUAGGUGGUUUGGGGUUGGAGCUUUGGGAGAUGCUACAGUCUGCAUAGCAACUGGAAAGCGGUGACCUCAGCCACACUGACAUGGAUUAUUGCUCUCUGAGAAGGCUGCGCUGUGACAGAUGUGCUUACCUGCUCACACCAAAAGGAUAAUGAGCUGAAAGUAUUUGGAAGUACAAAAAGCUGAACUGUCCUGCAUGUGCUGGGACUGUUCUCUCCCGUAGCAGGAGAGAAAACACUUGUCUGUUAAGGACAGUGAAAGGUGCUCUUACAGCAGAAUGAACAAAACUGAUGUUAGAGCAUGUGGAAUUAAGCUGAAGUCACUCCAGUUCUUGCUAUGGUUCAUCAAGUUGCAAAGAUGUCCGGUAUGAAUAGAUAGAAGUCAUUUGCCUUGAUUUGGGGUUUUCAUCUGCUGCACAAGCUGGAAAAUUAAUUGAAAUUGGUGUUCACACUUCAGGGGAAGCAACCCUCAGCUGAUUGAGAGACACGACGACAACUUCCAGUUUGUAAAGGGCAGCCUUCAGAUGACUAUGGCUUCUGAUUCCUUGAGGGAGCAGCCCACUCACAUUUCCACAGCCUCUCUUUAAUGGUUUGCUCCUUCAAACAGUGGAAGAAUGCUUCUUACCAAGGCAUUUUCAGUGUUUUUGGGCACUGUUGUCAUUGGAUUCCUAGAGGAGUUGAGUGAAUGAGUCCUGAAGGUGUAGAAUCAGAAAUGUCUAUGGGAAAGACUCCAGCAUCUCUGUGAAUUCUGGAAACAUCCAUGACAAUGUGAUGGAUGCUAAGCUCUUAUGUUCUAGUUUGCUUGUGAACACUCAGGUCUGGCAGUCCUGCAGAUGCUUGGACAUCAGCUGGCACCUUUUCAAACUCCUCUGAGCCUGUUGACAUCGCAGUCACCAAAGAUCUUGAAGUAAAAGUGCAAACAGAAAGGGUUGCCCCAAAACAGGUGAUAAAGUUGAUUUGCUGAUGAAGAAAGAUGAGUCUUGUAUUAUGGACAUGUUGCAUGUGACCAGAAAAGGUGUCUGCACCUACAGGGACACCAAAAAUGGGCUUCAGAGGAAGGUGAGAAGAACUGUGUGGUAGAUCUCAUCGGUACCUUUGAAUAUUUGAAAAGCCUCUUCUCAUGGAAUACUGCUUUCUCACAAAGGUUUGUUGAGUGGAUGCAACUGGAACUGGCUGCCUUGCUCAAGCAGGAAAACCUGCUGAGGAUAUAUAAACAUAACAAUUUAUUAUAUCCUGGAGGGGGGCGUAAGCCAUCCAAAUUACCUUUCUCUUGGGAAUCGGGAGGUCAUGGUUUAACAUGUACACAGUACAAUCCGACCAAAUCAAACAUCAGUGUUUUAUUAUUGAUUUUUGGCUAUCCAUUCAGCUUUUAGAUGUUAGACUUGGGAUGAAUACUCCAUAUGUUUCACUAGAAUCUGGCGUUGCAAAAUAACAUUUAACUGAAAUCUCAAUUUUUCAAUGCAAAUCACUUAAUAUUUAAUUGUGCCUGGCCUAGGCACUUCUGAUGUCCCGCUAUGCCUGCUUCAUUUGUGACCCACAGGGUUCCUCAGCAGGCUGAAUAGCUUCUGACUCAUUUGCAUCCACUCAAGCUUUGCAAAGCUAACCAGAAGUAUCCACAGAUAUUUUGCAAAUAAAACCUGUGGACUCAAGCCAAGGAGACCAAAGACACUCUGCAAACUCCCUGCCAGAUUUUGGGUAAUGAGGAAUGUUCAUGGAAAGCAAAAACACUGCUCUCAGUCAAGGGAUGUGUUUCAUCUAUUCUGGAGGAUUUUGGAGUCAUAAUUUGAAGAUGCAAGGAAGGUUGCUCUAGGAGUGGAACAGGAGAACAAAACUCUCACAAGAAAGAGCUGCAAAAAGGCCAGUUACUCUGAGCAUCAAGGGUGGUGAAGAAGGGAGUGAGCUCACUGGUCUUCUUGUAACCUAACAGCUCAACAGCACCUGGGCAAGGGAGUGCCUAUCUGUGCCCCUCUAGAAAAAGAGUACUGGGAGGGCUGCUGAUCAGCAGUGCUCUCCCAGGAAUACCAUCCCACAUCUGCAUUGCCCAGAGAACAGAGCUGAUAUGUAGUUGCAAGUUCUCUCUUAGAAGCUGUCCAAGCUAGUGUUCCUCAAUGGCUAGUAGAGGGUGAGGCACAGCAGUGUUGGUAUUUUCCGUAUAUUUUUCUUGUCCAGCAUCACUUUUUUCUUAACGGCUCACUUUCUGCAUUUUUUUCACCUGCUCAUCAUGUUCUGGUUCUGUGCUUUUCCACCUAGACCUGCAUCCCUCUGGCUAUUUCUCCUCCAUCUCUUUCUUUUAAUUGGGCUGACCAAAGCCCUGUCACAGUCUUUUUAGAUUGCAAAAGAGGAAUUGCCCUGCCACAGAAAUGCCAUGUGAUAUGUAAAAUCCUGCCUCUCUCCAAGACAAGUUGCUCUUCUGUUGACCCUGGGGUUGUCAGUGUUGUAUCCUGAGGGUAUGGGCUGUGCUCAGCUUACCUCUAAGGGGAAUUUUACAUUACGGGGUCAGCAGUCAGUGGGACCCAAAUACAGCAUUAGGUGGGAGUCAGUCUAGAGACCUCCAGCAGCCUCUCCCCACUUUCAGGGCUGCGACCUGUUGCUGCAGUAGUCUAAUCCAUCACAAGAAAGGAACAAGCUUUUUCUGCUUUUUGAAAGAAACAGUCAGAUGAUCUCCUCCUGAUAACUACAGUAGGUCUGGAGCUAUACAUUACAAAUGAGAUGCUGUGAUGACUCUAUUUGCUCUUAUGGAGAACUUUGUCAGGUCUGGCAAUGCUAAAGGAAGCAGGGAAAUGAACGUAUCUGCACUCACUGAGGCUGUUUUGAAUUAACUUUCUAUUUCUUUUAUUUCCCUGAGGCAAGGUCACAUGAAGGUAUUGGAAAAUUUCAAGGCAAGGAAACUCAACACCUCAAACUUUCUAUAAAAUAGAGUUUUAUAUAUAUAAAACCCCGGGAUAUUUGGCAGUCUGGCUAAUCUCUAAGCAAUAACUAAGGUUUUAAAUGCUUUCUCAGAAAACCUAAAGGCUUUAAUUCUGGCAAAACUAUGUCAACACACUGUCAGUUGCCUCCUGGUAGGUAAUUACAGAGAGCAAUAAAUAUUUUUGAACUCCUAGAUGUGGGCUACAUCAAGGGGAGAAGGGGAGAGAUUUGAAGUUGUUAAAGGCUGUCCAUCUCCUGACUUGGAAAGAUAAGCAUCUGGCAGGCACUUCAGCUGUCAGGACACAUAUUAGUAUAGUGCAUCCAAGAUGCUGUAAGCUUUGUACAAAUAGCUUGCCUCCAUGUUGCAAAGCCCAGGUUUAGUGAAAGUUUUGUAAGGGAGCCGGUGGCCCUGAUGAUGUGUGUCCUCCUGCCUCCCUGGGCAAAUGGGGUGAUGAAAGCAUGCUGGAGAGAGUUGUUUGGAAGCCAAAAUGGAAAUUUUAACUAAAAUAACCAUGUAAAUGUACUAAUAUAGUGCUGUGGUCAGAAAUAUUCGCCUUGAAUUAGAUGGAAGUCUGGGCACUGCAUGAGGUGUAAGAGAAGACAGAGCUGUGCAGAGAUGGGUGUUUCAGGAAGUAUUCUUGUCACAUUUAAAAUAUAUUUUUGUGUUUAUAUGACUGAUACCACUUUUUCAUGACAUGUAGAAAGUUCAAGAUAAUCUUUGGGGUGAGAGAGUUGUUGGCCUUUCUAGAAACUGUUUUACAUUUUUUGAUGUGGUUUCUGGUCAGAGCAGCAAAUGGACAUGCUGUCAUUUUUUCCCCUUGUUCACCUGUCUACCUUGCAAAGCUCAUAGCUCUUGAGUCCAUUUGCCAAAUUCAAUGAGAUCUGACCAAAGGGAAGAGAUUUCAUAGCUGUCAACUUAAAUUAUAUUCCAGUUAGCUCCGAGCUGCUGCAUUACAUUCUGUAUGCUUAAUGAAAAUUGGCAUUUACAUGGAGAUAAUGGCUCCAUUUUGGGCUCGUGUCUGCUGGAAAAAAGGUUGAGAGUGGCAGUUGCCCCUCCCAUGUAAGCUGUGUCAUUUGUCCUUCAGAAGCCAGUCCAAAAUUUUUUUCUGAAUAUUAAGUAUUUUCCAGUUCUUGAAAGUUUCUGAACUUGCUUUUGUAAUUUGUUGGUAUUAAUCGUAGAUGGGAAUCGUAGAUUCCACCAUGAUGAUAUGAGGGUAUCGUAGAUUGCAUCAUGAUGAUAUGAGGGGAAAGACAGACCUUUAUUUGGCUGAAUGCUGACUUUCUUCCCUUUCAAAACCUUCAUUCAUUGAGCGUAUUGUAAGCCAGAGAAACAGGCAAGAAAACAGUGAGCAAAAAGGGAAUGGAAAUAAUGUUGCUAGGGCAACUUUCUCAUGGUUUCUAAAGAUGUAUAAUUAUAUUUAAAAUCCUUGAAAAAC